rnacentral:rRNA from 1 species
AUUGAACGCUGGCGGAAUGCUUUACACAUGCAAGUCGAACGGUAGAGGGGGCAACCCCUUGAGAGUGGGCGAACGGGUGAGUAAUAUAUCGGAACGUGCCCAGUCGUGGGGAUAACGUAGCGAAAGUUACGCUAAUACCGCAUACGAUCUAAGGAUGAAAGCGGGGGAUCGCAAGACCUCGCGCGAUUGGAGCGGCCGAUAUCAGAUUAGGUAGUUGGUGAGGUAAAGGCUCACCAAGCCAACGAUCUGUAGCUGGUCUGAGAGGACGACCAGCCACACUGGAACUGAGACACGGUCCAGACUCCUACGGAGGCAAGCAAGUGGGGAAUUUUUGGACAAUGGACGCAAGUCUGAUCCAGCCAUUCCGCGUGCAGGAUGAAGGCCCUC